UACGUAGGGUGCGAGCGUUAAUCGGAAUUGCUGGGCGUAAAGCGUGCGCAGGCGGUUCUGAAAGUCAGCUGUGAAAGCCCCGGGCUUAACCUGGGAAUGGCGGUUGAAACUACAGGACUAGAAUCUGGCAGAGGGGGGGUGGAAUUCCACGUGUAGCAGUGAAAUGCGUAGAGAUGUGGAGGAACACCGAUGGCGAAGGCAGCCCCCUGGGAUAACACUGACGCUCAUGCACGAAAGCGUGGGGAGCAAACAGG
rnacentral:rRNA from 1 species